AUUGAACGCUGGCGGCAGGCCUAACACAUGCAAGUCGAACGAGCGGCGGAGGGGUGAGUAGUGCCGGGGAAUUGCACAGGCGAGGGAGAUCACAGUGGAAAACUACUGCUAACCCCGCAAACUCUUGGAUUGCCCAGGGGGGAUUCGCUUGUGGGUGAGGUAAUGGCUCACCAAGGCGACGAUCCCUAGCUGGUCUGAGAGGAUGAUCAGCCACACUGGAACUGAGACACGGUCCAGACUCCUACGGGAGGCAGCAGUGGGGAAUAUUGCACAAUGGGGGAAAGCCUGAUGCAGCCAUGCCGCGUGUGUGAAGAAGGCCUUCGGGUUGUAAAGCACUUUCAGCGAGGAGGCGUUACUCGCAGAAGAAGCACCGGCUAACUCCGUGCCAGCAGCCGCGGUAAUAC
rnacentral:rRNA from 1 species